rnacentral:rRNA from 1 species
CCUACGGGUGGCAGCAGUGAGGAAUAUUGGUCAAUGGACGAGAGUCUGAACCAGCCAAGUAGCGUGAAGGAUGACUGCCCUAUGGGUUGUAAACUUCUUUUAUAUGGGAAUAAAACAGGGGAUGCAUACCCUCUUGUAUGGACCAUAUGAAUAAGGAUCGGCGAACACCGUGCCAGCAGCCGCGGUAAUACGGAGGGUGCGAGCGUUAAGCGGAAUUACUGGGCGGACAGCGCUCGUAGGCGGUCUGUCAAGUCAAGGGUGAAAUCCCCGCGCUCAACGUGGGAACUGCCUUUGAAACUGGCAAACUGGAGUGUUUGAUAGGUUAGUGGCAUUCCAGGUGUAGGGGU